GUGUCAGCCGCCGCGGUAAGACAGAGGGGGCAAGCGUUGCUCGGAAUCACUGGGCGUAAAGGGCGCGUAGGCGGGAUGGCAAGUCAGUCGUGAAAUCUCUCGGCUCAACCGAGAAACGUCGGCUGAUACUGCCGUUCUUGAGGGAUGCAGAGGAGACUGGAAUUCCCGGUGUAGCGGUGAAAUGUGUAGAGAUCGGGAGGAACACCGGUGGCGAAGGCGGGUCUCUGGGCAUUUCCUGACGCUGAGGCGCGAAAGCGUGGGGAGCAAACGGGAUUAGAAACCCCCGUAGUCC
rnacentral:rRNA from 1 species